UUUCCGUAGUGAACCUGCGGAAGAUCAUUAAUAAAUGGUCUACGUUUUAAGUAGACACUUAAUAAUCCUACCCUUUGUGAAUUUGUUGUUUGAAAUAAUUUUUUUAAAAUUAUUGAUUGUCUUUCCCUGUUGAAUAGAAUGUUUUCGAACAUGAAAUUCGCAGGGAGUGUCAGUAAUUUUUAAAAAGACCUUUUUAAAAUUAAACUUUUGUAUUCAUUUGUCUAAAUUAUUUUUAUAAUAAAAAACAACUUUUGACAAUGGAUCUCUUGGUUCUCGCAACGAUGAAGAACGCAGCAAAUGCGAUAAGUAGUGUGAAUUGCAGAAUACGUGAAUCAUCGAAUCUUCGAACGCAUAUUGCACUUUUUAGUUUACUAAAAAAGUAUGUCUGUUCGAGUAUCAGUAAAUAUUCUCAUAAAAACUAUUGUUUUAUGUUAUGAGUGUUUUACAACGAUACAAGUUGUUUCACUUUAAAUUUUUUUAAAAUUUGAAUUUUUCUAAUUUUAAAAUAAAAUUGGAUAAAAUUUCCCGUAAAAAGGAAUAACCUAAACAAUUUUAGUUUUUUGAUUAGAAUUUUCAUUAUAAAGGAAAAUUUAAUAAAUAACUUGAUCUCAAAUCAGAUAAGAGUACCGCUGAACUUAAGCAUAUCAAUAAGCGGAGGAAAAGAAACUAACAAGGAUUCCUUAGUAACGGCGAGUGAAGCGGGAAGAGCUCAAAUUUGAAAUCUUCAAGGUUUUACCUUGACGAAUUGUAGUUUAAAGAAGUGUUUUCUGUUGAAGUUUUGGUAAAAGUUCUUUGGAAUAGGACAUCAUAGAGGGUGAGAAUCCCGUAUUGACCAUUAUUUCAGCUGUGUGAUACACUUUCAAAGAGUCGGAUUGUUUGGAAUGCAGUCCAAAAUGGGUGGUAAAUUUCAUCUAAAGCUAAAUAUUGGCGAGAGACCGAUAGCGAACAAGUACGUGAGGAAAGAUGAAAAGAACUUUGAAAAGAGAGUUAAACAGUACGUGAAAUUGUCAAAGGAAGCGUUUGACACCAGUGUUGUUUUCUCGAAAAUCAAUUAAAAAGAGUUGGAUUUUGUGUUGUAUUGACCUUAACAGCUUGCUUCACUCUUUUCCUGCUUUUUUUAAUGCACUUUUCGUUUAACAAGUCAACAUCAGUUUCUUUUGUUGUAAAAGGGUCAUUGGAAGGUGGCUUCCUCUUCGGAGAAAGUGUUUAUAGCCUUUGAUCUCUGCAAUCGGAGAGACUGAGGUCUGCAGCGUAGAUCCUUCGGGUUAGAUACAUUUGUGCUAAGCUACAGCUUUCAUAGACAACUUGUUGACUACGUUUAGUCUUGUAACUUACCCGCUUAUGCUAUUUACCUACGCUUAGGAUGUUG
rnacentral:misc_RNA from 1 species